ensembl:lncRNA
GUCACUCACUGCUGAAAAGGGGCCUCAACUGGGGAGCCAGCCUAGUGGCUGGGACAAUGCACAGCUCUGUAAUUAUGACGCUAAUUCCCCAAAGCAAGUCCUAUCUGAAGCAGGAAGUCACCUGGGAUGCUGCAGCAACUUCCGUUUCCUGUGGAAUAGAUUUUUAAAACACCCAAGCCAAAAACAAGGUUCCUGGAGGAAAUGAUGUGUGAACUGACACCUGAAAAAAUGGAUAGGAGUUUGCCUUAUUAUAGAAGAGGCAGAUAGAAGAGAGGCCUCUAAUAUGUGGUGUUAUUAUGUGGCUGGUGUCCCAGGCCUAUAUCCUGUGAAAUCUGCUUCAUAUGGCUGCUUCCACCUCGGCUAAGUCCUGUGGCAUGAAAGCCCCAUUGGCCCUUAAGCUUGAAGCCCGACCUAGAGACAGGUGAUGCUAACUGUCCUUCUGUCCAUUGACCAUCUGGAUCUCCACACACAGGAAGGAGUAGGCAGGCUUGCCCGCAGUGCUCAGAGCAGAGCUGGCUUACAGGCCAUCCAUAGUGGGACUCCUAUAGCAGAGACAAGAUUCCCUGAUAAUCCUCUUUCCCCACACUCCCUCUGGACCAGCUAUGUCUUAAAG